rnacentral:rRNA from 1 species
CAGCCGCCGCGGUAAUACGUAGGUGGCAAGCGUUGUCCGGAAUUAUUGGGCGUAAAGCGCGCGCAGGCGGAUCAGUUAGUCUGUCUUAAAAGUUCGGGGCUUAACCCCGUGAUGGGAUGGAAACUGCUGAUCUAGAGUAUCGGAGAGGAAAGUGGAAUUCCUAGUGUAGCGGUGAAAUGCGUAGAUAUUAGGAAGAACACCAGUGGCGAAGGCGACUUUCUGGACGAAAACUGACGCUGAGGCGCGAAAGCCAGGGGAGCGAACGGGAUUAGAUACCCCCGUAGUCCCUGUCUCUUAUACA